ACUUUGCAAAAGCAGCGAUUACCACCAACCACGAGAAACACAGGAGCCUGCCUUCCACUGUUUACCACUGGGCAGGAAGUCGUUUAUGGACCAGUCUCUUGCCCAGGCUAAACUCAGAAGUGGACACUGAGGGCCGGUUGUGGGUGCCACCAGGCAAGCUAGGGCAUCGGAGUUCAGCAGAGCUGGGUGGGAAUUCUGCUUCUCCCUCCACUACCUGGGUAACCCUGGGCAAGUCACUUAGCCUCUCCGAGCAUAAACUGGUUUGCUUGUAAUAUGCAAAUAAUAAGGGGUGGGGGAAAUUUUUUUUUUUUUUUUUGAGACAGAGUCUCGCUCUGUCACCCAGGCUGGAGUGCAGUGGCGUGAUCUCGGCUCAUUGCAACCUCCGCCUCCUGGGUUCAAGCAAUUCUCCUGCCUCAGCCUCCUGAGUAGCUGGGAUUACAGGCGCCCGCCACCACUCCCAGCUAAUUUUUGUAUUUUUAGUAGGGACGAGGUUUCACCAUGUUGGUCAGGCUGGUCUCAAACUCCUGACCUCGUGAUCUGCCCUCCUUGGCCUUCCAAAGUGCUGGGAUUACAGGCGUGAUGGAGAUGAUACUCCCUAAAUCACAAGGGUGUGGUGUGAAGAUGAAAUGGCUGCACGUGACAGAGGAGUUGGAGAACAGGAAGCAAGUGGAUUACUUGGAUGAACUGUGAUGGGCCCAAGAAGAACUAAGCCAAUCACUCCAGGGGGCGUUUUCCCAGGAUCCAGGCAGAGAGCUGAUUCCAGCAUCCACGUUGUAUCCCCCUCCCGCUGUGGCCGGGGUCUCCAAGAGCCGGGCACCCACUGCAGAGCUUCCAAGCCCAGGCCCAUUUGAACACAGGAGGACUUUUGAGGUUCAUUUAACCCCAAAAUCAGUGAUUCUACAUCUCAAGCUCAUAUUUUGAAGUGUUUACGGACCAGGGAUUUGCCAAUUAUUCUGGAUGGGCACAGGGAAGGGGCCCUCAGAUCCUGCAGAGGGAGCAUCUGAAAGACAAUGAGACCCUGUACACAACCAAGCUGAGCCUCCUCGUUGGUGCAUGCAUGGAUCCAGGAAGAGCAGGUAUUUGGACCCAACGAGACAGGUUCAUCUUGGCAGUUUGUCUCCUGUGGUUGCUUUGUGCCUGCCCCGUAUCUAUCCACCCAACUUCUGGCAGCAAUCCCUCCAGGACCCACCUCUGUCUUCAUGGUUUGUGUGUUCUGAUCCUGCUCCUUGGCCCCAGAAUACACCCUCCACAUCUAAGCUAUGCAGUGCCUCAUCCCCACAGCUGCAGCGAUUGGUUUAGGAAUGGGAAAAUAAUCCAAUCAAAGUAAGAUUGUCUAAUAUCUGAUCCCGCUUACCCCGGAGCCAGAAGUCCCACCUUUCCAGGCUCCUCCAUGUUCCUUUCUGGAGCAAUGAGGAGGAAGGUUCAUUCCCUUCUCAGGGAACUUGCUGCGGUGUCCCAGUCCUGACUGUCCCCUCUCUACCCCUGCCUGUGGCUCUCCCGUCUCCUGGCAUUCUAACCUGCCACUGAAUUCUUCCCACGCCAAACGCAGGUUAGGAACCUAAGCUCGGAUGAAAUGCUGGCUUAGACCUCAUUGCUACUGAGAAGCAGAAACCACACUUUUUAGUUGGUAGAGGUGGAUGUGGAUUGGGGCCAUAAAGUUUCCUCAAUCAUUGAAUAAGGAUUUCAUUAUUUGGACUAACUAAAUACAUUAGAUUAUUUAUACUAACUAAAUAAAUUAGAUUUAUUUUUCGAAGUUUAAAAUCAUUUUCAAUAGUGACGAAAAAGGCUGUAGAUGAGAUGGGAGAAUCUUUCGACGCCAAAUUCUUCCCAUCUCCUGCCUAGUAUGUAUCACUACACCUUGCCCAGAGAGACUGUAGGGGUGCUCAGCAAAAACCAUGGCUGGUUGAUUCCCUGGAAAAAGGGGUGCUGUCCCAGGGAGCUCUGUGCCCUUCCUGCCAACACUGGGGUCUAGAGGAGGCAAGUUCCCCUCUGAAGGUGAGUAUGAUUCACUCAUUAAAACUAAGAAAUUUACAUUGGUAUGUUACUGUUAACUAACCUACAGACUUUUUUUAGAUUUCACCGUUCUUUACACUCUCGUCCUUUCCAAUUUCCGGGAUCCAAUGCAGGAUACCAGGUUGCAUUUUUGGAUGUGUCCAGUCUGUGAUCAUUUCUCAAUCUUUCCUCAUUUUCUCAUGACUUUUGACAUUUAUUUAUUUAUUUAUUGUGUGAGACUGAGUCUCACUCUGUUGCCUAGGCUGGAGUGCAGUGGCCCCAUCCUGGCUCACUACAAUCUCCACCUCCCGGGUUCAAAUGAUUCUCCUGCCUCAGCCUCCCAAGCAGCUGGGAUUACAGGCGCACACCACCACGCCUGGCUAAUUUGUAUUUUUAGUAGAGAUGGGGUUUCACCAUGUUAGCCAGGCUGGUCUCAAACUCCUGACUUCAGGUGAUCUGCCUGCCUCGGCCUCCCAAAGUGCUAGGAUUACAGGCGCAGGCCACCACGCCCAGCCUGACUUCUGACAUUAGAGUACAGGGAGGGAUUCUGUAGAAUGUCCCUCAAUUUGGGUGUGUCUGGUGUUUUGCCAUGAGACUGGGGUUAUGCUUCUGGGUGCCACACAGAGGUGAAAUGUCCUUCUCAUCACAUUAUUCGAGAGGUACAUGGUACCAAUGGGACUUAUCGCUGCUGAUGUUAACCUUGAUCUCUUGGUUCAGGUGGUGCCUGCCAGCUGUCUCCACUGUGGAGUUACUAUUUUUCCUUUUCCCCAUUUUAUUCAUCAGAAGCCAGUCACUAAGCGAGGUCAAACUCCAGGACAGGGGAAUUAAGUGCCACCUUCUGGAGAGGGAGCAUUCACAUUUAUUACUUGGGAUCCUUCUGUAAGGAAGAGCUGUUUCUCCUCUAAAAAACUCUUUAAUCCUUUUAAGCCUCAAUUUCUUAAUUGUGAAAUGGGGCUAAUACCUGUAUCCAACCAAGGGAGUAGUUAGAAGGUAACAUGAUAGGUGGAAAGCACUUAACAUAGGCAAAAUGUUAUUAUCAGGAAUGAUCGAGAGACCCAUCCAACUAUCUGAAGGAGUCACUUAACUCUACUGUACUGCAGCGCUGUAAAGUCUGCAUCUUUCACUGGGGGUAAAGGCCCCCAGUCCCUGAGACGGGCCAGUUUGGAGACAGGCUGGUUUUUUCUCUGUUCUCCUGAGAGCCCUUCAGAUGAGAAGGGAGGUCUGGAGACAGAAUGCCAAAAGCCCAUUAAAGGCACGGCCUUGCAUUUCAGAGAGGGAGCAGGUCUAGAGAAGAACCAGAGGAGCUCAGCUGAGAUAUGGUGUAUGGAUUGGAUUUUGGUAGAAGAUGGGAAGAACCAAACACCUGAGAAACCACUUUGAAGAUCGGGGUCAGACUGCCUUUGUGAUCCCGCGCCCCGGUCCUCGGCCUCUCACCUCCAGCGCCGGGGCGCCCCCUGCUGUCGGAAGCGGCUGUGACCGGGCAGAGGUGCUAUCUGGGACUCUGGGUUCUCAGCCCGGGGACAGCGAACCGAGGGGCAGAUGAUCCAUCAGAAAAGAGCCGGCACUGCCCAGCCCCGCGCCCCUGCCCCUGCCUUUUUCCGGGAGCGCGCCGCGCCGCACCCGCUACGGCCGCUUGACCCCAUCUUUGAGCCCGGCCCCAAGCUCUGGGACCGUCGUGCCCCUCAUCAAGGAAGAGCCAAGGACCCCAAGGAGAAGAGAAAGGAGUUCAUGAAGGCAGAAAUGCCUGGGGCCCACGAACAUCCCAGUGUGGCCCUGGACGGGACAUCAUGCUGGGCAACACAGCUAAAAUGCGGGUGAAGACCAGAUUUCUUGCACAUGGCGGUGACGGGAUGCUCCCUAGAGAGCUUCAAGUGGAUUCUUUGCUUUUUAUUUUCUCUCUUAAUAAAAAUGUAUGAUGUUUACAUUGUCAGAGAACAAACAGAACUGUGGCUUGUGUUUCAUGUCUUACGAAAUGGGUCUUGUGUACUUUUGGCUGUUCUUUCAUGUUCUUAGCAGUUAUAGAUUUGGCCCCUCUGGAAUGGAGGGGCCAUAUAUCAGGGGGUUUGGGGCAGGGGACACGGCCCUCUGUUCACCCUGCCCUCCCUGAUAGGUUGAUUUAUCUCCCUGCAAUCCCUUAUUCGCCUUCCGGGCUGGUCUCCUUCCCAGUCCGAGAUCU
rnacentral:lncRNA from 1 species